rnacentral:rRNA from 1 species
GGGUUGUGAGGUUAAGCGACUAAGCGUACACGGUGGAUGCCCUGGCAGUCAGAGGCGAUGAAGGACGUGCUAAUCUGCGAUAAGCGUCGGUAAGGUGAUAUGAACCGUUAUAACCGGCGAUUUCCGAAUGGGGAAACCCAGUGUGAUUCGUCACACUAUCAUUAACUGAAUCCAUAGGUUAAUGAGGCGAACCGGGGGAACUGAAACAUCUAAGUACCCCGAGGAAAAGAAAUCAACCGAGAUUCCCCCAGUAGCGGCGAGCGAACGGGGAGCAGCCCAGAGCCUGAAUCAGUGUGUGUGUUAGUGGAAGCGUCUGGAAAGGCGUGCGAUACAGGGUGACAGCCCCGUACACAAAAAUGCACAUACUGUGAGCUCGAUGAGUAGGGCGGGACACGUGGUAUCCUGUCUGAAUAUGGGGGGACCAUCCUCCAAGGCUAAAUACUCCUGACUGACCGAUAGUGAACCAGUACCGUGAGGGAAAGGCGAAAAGAACCCCGGCGAGGGGAGUGAAAAAGAACCUGAAACCGUGUACGUACAAGCAGUGGGAGCACGCUUAGGCGUGUGACUGCGUACCUUUUGUAUAAUGGGUCAGCGACUUAUAUUCUGUAGCAAGGUUAACCGAAUAGGGGAGCCGAAGGGAAACCGAGUCUUAACUGGGCGUUAAGUUGCAGGGUAUAGACCCGAAACCCGGUGAUCUAGCCAUGGGCAGGUUGAAGGUUGGGUAACACUAACUGGAGGACCGAACCGACUAAUGUUGAAAAAUUAGCGGAUGACUUGUGGCUGGGGGUGAAAGGCCAAUCAAACCGGGAGAUAGCUGGUUCUCCCCGAAAGCUAUUUAGGUAGCGCCUCGUGAAUUCAUCUCCGGGGGUAGAGCACUGUUUCGGCAAGGGGGUCAUCCCGACUUACCAACCCGAUGCAAACUGCGAAUACCGGAGAAUGUUAUCACGGGAGACACACGGCGGGUGCUAACGUCCGUCGUGAAGAGGGAAACAACCCAGACCGCCAGCUAAGGUCCCAAAGUCAUGGUUAAGUGGGAAACGAUGUGGGAAGGCCCAGACAGCCAGGAUGUUGGCUUAGAAGCAGCCAUCAUUUAAAGAAAGCGUAAUAGCUCACUGGUCGAGUCGGCCUGCGCGGAAGAUGUAACGGGGCUAAACCAUGCACCGAAGCUGCGGCAGCGACGCUUAUGCGUUGUUGGGUAGGGGAGCGUUCUGUAAGCCUGCGAAGGUGUGCUGUGAGGCAUGCUGGAGGUAUCAGAAGUGCGAAUGCUGACAUAAGUAACGAUAAAGCGGGUGAAAAGCCCGCUCGCCGGAAGACCAAGGGUUCCUGUCCAACGUUAAUCGGGGCAGGGUGAGUCGACCCCUAAGGCGAGGCCGAAAGGCGUAGUCGAUGGGAAACAGGUUAAUAUUCCUGUACUUGGUGUUACUGCGAAGGGGGGACGGAGAAGGCUAUGUUGGCCGGGCGACGGUUGUCCCGGUUUAAGCGUGUAGGCUGGUUUUCCAGGCAAAUCCGGAAAACUAAGGCUGAGGCGUGAUGACGAGGCACUACGGUGCUGAAGCAACAAAUGCCCUGCUUCCAGGAAAAGCCUCUAAGCAUCAGGUAACAUCAAAUCGUACCCCAAACCGACACAGGUGGUCAGGUAGAGAAUACCAAGGCGCUUGAGAGAACUCGGGUGAAGGAACUAGGCAAAAUGGUGCCGUAACUUCGGGAGAAGGCACGCUGAUAUGUAGGUGAAGUCCCUCGCGGAUGGAGCUGAAAUCAGUCGAAGAUACCAGCUGGCUGCAACUGUUUAUUAAAAACACAGCACUGUGCAAACACGAAAGUGGACGUAUACGGUGUGACGCCUGCCCGGUGCCGGAAGGUUAAUUGAUGGGGUUAGCGCAAGCGAAGCUCUUGAUCGAAGCCCCGGUAAACGGCGGCCGUAACUAUAACGGUCCUAAGGUAGCGAAAUUCCUUGUCGGGUAAGUUCCGACCUGCACGAAUGGCGUAAUGAUGGCCAGGCUGUCUCCACCCGAGACUCAGUGAAAUUGAACUCGCUGUGAAGAUGCAGUGUACCCGCGGCAAGACGGAAAGACCCCGUGAACCUUUACUAUAGCUUGACACUGAACAUUGAGCCUUGAUGUGUAGGAUAGGUGGGAGGCUUUGAAGUGUGGACGCCAGUCUGCAUGGAGCCGACCUUGAAAUACCACCCUUUAAUGUUUGAUGUUCUAACGUUGACCCGUGAUCCGGGUUGCGGACAGUGUCUGGUGGGUAGUUUGACUGGGGCGGUCUCCUCCUAAAGAGUAACGGAGGAGCACGAAGGUUGGCUAAUCCUGGUCGGACAUCAGGAGGUUAGUGCAAUGGCAUAAGCCAGCUUGACUGCGAGCGUGACGGCGCGAGCAGGUGCGAAAGCAGGUCAUAGUGAUCCGGUGGUUCUGAAUGGAAGGGCCAUCGCUCAACGGAUAAAAGGUACUCCGGGGAUAACAGGCUGAUACCGCCCAAGAGUUCAUAUCGACGGCGGUGUUUGGCACCUCGAUGUCGGCUCAUCACAUCCUGGGGCUGAAGUAGGUCCCAAGGGUAUGGCUGUUCGCCAUUUAAAGUGGUACGCGAGCUGGGUUUAGAACGUCGUGAGACAGUUCGGUCCCUAUCUGCCGUGGGCGCUGGAGAACUGAGGGGGGCUGCUCCUAGUACGAGAGGACCGGAGUGGACGCAUCACUGGUGUUCGGGUUGUCAUGCCAAUGGCACUGCCCGGUAGCUAAAUGCGGAAGAGAUAAGUGCUGAAAGCAUCUAAGCACGAAACUUGCUCCGAGAUGAGUUCUCCCUGACUCCUUGAGAGUCCUGAAGGAACGUUGAAGACGACGACGUUGAUAGGCCGGGUGUGUAAGCGCAGCGAUGCGUUGAGCUAACCGGUACUAAUGAACCGUGAGGCUUAACCUUACAACGCCGAAGGUGUUU